UUCAGAAAUGCUGCAUGCCAUGUUAUACCAUGAUUAUAGGGAAGUUUGAACAUAUUGAACACCUGUACAAAAUAAUGAAAAUUCAUUGGUAUCUCUACAAAAUAUCUGGUAAGAUUUGACAUUUUGAGGGCCAAUAGAACAGGUUUUAUUAUAAUUUAAAAUUUCAGUGUUAUGAUUAU